GCUGGGCGUGGUGGCGCAUGCCUGUAGUCCCAGCUACUUGGGAGGCUGAGGCAGAAGAAUUGCUUGAACCCAGGAGGUUUCAGUGAGCCGAGAUCGAGCCAUUGCACUCCAGCCUGGGUGACAGAGUAAGACUCUGUCUCGA
ensembl:misc_RNA Metazoa_SRP Metazoan signal recognition particle RNA